CAAUAGCGUAUAUUAAAGUUGUUGCAGUUAAAAAGCUCGUAGUUGGAUUUGUGGUUCGUCCCGCCGGCUGGGUCAUUGACCUUUGCUGUGCUGGUCGUCCAUCCUUGGGUGGAAUCUGUGUGGCAUUAGGUUGUCGCGCAGGGGAUGCCCAUCGUUUACUGUGAAAAAAUUAGAGUGUUCAAAGCAGGCUUAUGCCGUUGAAUAUAUUAGCAUGGAAUAAUGAUAUAGGACCUUGGUACUAUUUUGUUGGUUUGCGCACUGAGGUAAUGAUUAAUAGGGAUAGUUGGGGGUAUUCAUAUUCAAUUGUCGGAGGUGAAAUUCUUGGAUUUAUGGAAGAUGAACUACUGCGAAAGCAUUUACCAAGGAUGUUUNCAUUA
rnacentral:rRNA from 1 species